UGCAAGCGGUGAUGAUUCCUGACCUUGUGUCAAGACCCUGACAUUUCUGUGAAGGUGUCUAAGUCACUACCUCGUCUGAGCUUGUG
ensembl:snoRNA